CCCUUAGAUGUUCUGGGCCGCACGCGUGCUACACUGAGUGGAUCAGCGGGUCAGGUUGCGCGAAAGUGUUUCCUAAUCUUGAAAUCCGCUCGUGAUGGGGAUUGACGGUUGCAAUUUUCCGUCAUGAACGAGGAAUACCUUGUAAGCGCGGGUCAUCAUCCCGCGCUGAAUACGUCCCUGCCCUUUGUACACACCGCCCGUCGCUCCUACCGAUUGAGUGGUCCGGUGAGGCUUUGGGAUCUGAGUAAAAAGAGCGUUUCGCUCGUUUGGCUCGGAAAACUCAGUCGAACCUUAUCAUUUAGAGGAAGGAGAAGUCGUAACA
rnacentral:rRNA from 1 species